UAGCCUUUAGAAAUGAAGAUUAAUGCCUCAUAGUAUUGAGUAUUGGCAUGAAUAUAUAAUUAAAGAUUUAUCGGUAAAAGAUGGCUAUGCGUCCUAUUAGUUAGUUGGUAAGGUAACGGCUUACCAAGACAGCGAUAGGUAGGGGUCCUGAGAGGGAGAUCCCCCACACUGGUACUGAGACACGGACCAGACUCCUACGGGAGGCAGCAGUGAGGAAUAUUGGACAAUGGAGGAGACUCUGAUCCAGCCAUGCCGCGUGUAGGAAGAAUGCCCUAUGGGUUGUAAACUACUUUUAUACAGGAAAGAACACUGGUAUGUA
rnacentral:rRNA from 1 species